GUUGUUGCAGUUAAAAAGCUCGUAGUUGGAUUUCUGGGGUGUCGGAUGGGCCCUGGCCUAACGGCGCACUGCCCGAUUCCUGGCGCCCCAUCCGCGGGUGGAUUCCCCUUGGCAUUAGGUUGUUGGGGGGGGGAAGCCGCCGUUUACUGUGAAAAAAUUAGAGUGUUCAAAGCAGGCUUAGGCCGUUGGAUACAUUAGCAUGGAAUAAUGAGAUAAGGCCUUG
rnacentral:rRNA from 1 species